UUCUCCUUUCACCCGGGCAAAGGAGCUGGAAGGACGGACGGAGGAGGGCUGCACAGCGUCUAGUGCGCUCCAGGGCGCAAGGGCCUGAGCGCGCCGAGUCAGCACGCCGCGCUGCCCUUGGAUUGGGCAAGGGACGAGGGAAAGUUGAGAAGGUAAAGGGGGUCCCCUAGAAGAAAGGCCAAACGCUGGAGGAAAACGAAGGCGGUUCUGACCUCUUUCAGGGUGCCUCUCUUCCUGUGCCCUCGAGUCUGACAAGCGGAAAGACGUCUCCUGGAAAGCCAGUCUCAGCUUCCGUCGCCCCCCUUCCCGGCCCCGCAAGGAAGCUAGAACCUCCAGAGAGAGCGCGUCCCCUGCUCAGAGCACCCAAAGGUCCUUUCUAGGCCAGCCUCCUCCCCCUCCCCCAGAGAACUCAGACCCCUUUAUCAACAUUCAUCCCGUUUUACAAGCGGGGGCAGUCGAUAACUUUUGGUGCCCAAAGAACAGAGGUCUGGAAUAAAAGCUGGGGUGUCUCCUCAGAGACUACAGCAGAAAAUCACCCCUCCCAGAGGAGAGGCUUAGACUAAGACCUUUCCUGACUCUGGAAGCCACAGUCCUGACUCUGGAAGUCACAGUGGGUGUUCAAGCCCAUCUGGAGAGCCGCCUGCCCUUCUAAGGCAAGUCAAAACUCAUCUCUACCCACCAAAGUCCAGGCCCAGAAGCAGGAACUCUAGGCAUGGCUGGGACUCCAGGUGCCUCCCGACCGUCCAUGCCUUUGAAGAGGUGCAACCAUCCCCAAGGCCAAAACUGCUCACGGGAAAACUGCUGCAGUGACCCCUUUCUGGUUCAACUUCUACCUCCCCUGGGGGGCUGCCUUUCCUUGGGCGGGGGCGGGACACCUUUAGACUCUACCGACCAAGUGCUGCAGGUAUACGAGAACGAAGCCGCACUUAUGGCUCCAAAGGAGAGGCUUUCUCUUGAUGAUGCCAGGUCACAGCCAACAGGGAGCAGGUGGCCUGUACCUUCCCGUGGAGACAGGGUGCCAAAAAGGCGGGCCCAAGAGCCCACAUCUUAGGCUGGUUUUACUUCCUAGACACACACAGAAAUCCAACCCUAUCGCAUUUGAAAAACAAUUUAAAGCACAAAACAGCCAACUUACAUGUAUGUAUGUAUGUAUGUAUAAGGCAACCGAUGGCGCAGAAUUUGGGGGCCCCCCGCUGCGCCACAGAGUUUUGAAUCCUUCUCUCCCCGCCCUUCCUCUGAUAAUGGGAAACUCUGGAAAUCUGGGCCUUUCCUGAGGGCGCAAAAGUUCCUUCAGCCUCCGGGGACUCACAGACUGUCCCCAGCCCCUCAACCCCCCCACGCCUGAGGGCAAGUGGGAAGCCCUUCACCAAACCGCAGCUCGCGGUUCCAGAC